rnacentral:rRNA from 1 species
AACGCGAAGAACCUUACCAAAUCUUGACAUCCUUUGACCGCUCUAGAGAUAGAGUUUUCCCCUUCGGGGGACAAAGUGACAGGUGGUGCAUGGUUGUCGUCAGCUCGUGUCGUGAGAUGUUGGGUUAAGUCCCGCAACGAGCGCAACCCUUAAGCUUAGUUGCCAUCAUUAAGUUGGGCACUCUAAGUUGACUGCCGGUGACAAACCGGAGGAAGGUGGGGAUGACGUCAAAUCAUCAUGCCCCUUAUGAUUUGGGCUACACACGUGCUACAAUGGACAAUACAAAGGGCAGCUAAACCGCGAGGUCAAGCAAAUCCCAUAAAGUUGUUCUCAGUUCGGAUUGUAGUCUGCAACUCGACUACAUGAAGCUGGAAUCGCUAGUAAUCGUAGAUCAGCAUGCUACGGUGAAUACGUUCCCGGGUCUUGUACACACCG